GAUGAACGCUGGCGGCGUGCCUAAUACAUGCAAGUCGAGCGACCGGACGAGAAGCUUGCUUCCCUGCUGUUAGCGGCGGACGGGUGAGUAACACGUGGAUAACCUACCUAUAAGACUGGGAUAACUUCGGGAAACCGGAGCUAAUACCGGAUAAUAUUUUGAACCGCAUGGUUCAAAAGUGAAAGACGGUCUUGCUGUCACUUAUAGAUGGAUCCGCGCUGCAUUAGCUAGUUGGUAAGGUAACGGCUUACCAAGGCAACGAUGCAUAGCCGACCUGAGAGGAUGAUCAGCCACACUGGAACUGAGACACGGUCCAGACUCCUACGGGAGGCAGCAGUAGGGAAUCUUCCGCAAUGGGCGAAAGCCUGACGGAGCAACGCCGCGUGAGUGAUGAAGGUCUUCGGAUCGUAAAACUCUGUUAUUAGGGAAGAACAUAUGUGUAAGUAACUGUGCACAUCUUGACGGUACCUAAUCAGAAAGCCACGGCUAACUACGUG
rnacentral:rRNA from 1 species